ACGUACACUCCUGCGGGAGGCAGCAGUGGGGAAUAUUGGACAAUGGGCGCAAGCCUGAUCCAGCCAUGCCGCGUGAGUGAUGAAGGCCCUAGGGUUGUAAAGCUCUUUCACCGGUGAAGAUAAUGACGGUAACCGGAGAAGAAGCCCCGGCUAACUUCGUGCCAGCAGCCGCGGUAAUACGAAGGGGGCUAGCGUUGUUCGGAUUUACUGGGCGUAAAGCGCACGUAGGCGGACUAUUAAGUCAGGGGUGAAAUCCCGGGGCUCAACCCCGGAACUGCCUAUGAUACUGGUAGUCUUGAGUUCGAGAGAGGUGAGUGGAAUUCCGAGUGUAGAGGUGAAAUUCGUAGAUAUUCGGAGGAACACCAGUGGCGAAGGCGGCUCACUGGCUCGAUACUGACGCUGAGGUGCGAAAGCGUGGGGAGCAAACAGGAUUAGAUACCCCGGUAGUCCCA
rnacentral:rRNA from 1 species